AUGAAACGGAUGGUGGGAGGACGAAAGCACGCGACAAUGUACAUGUGCUCCGUGUUUUAUUUAGUACACUCUGAUGAAAGCAAAGUGCGUACACUACAGCCAGAUCAACAUGGCAGGCGAUGUCGACGCUUCAUUCGCCGCCCCGACGAGCCACCCAUGGCAGCAUCGAUCGGCCACCUUCCAAGCAGCCGCAUCCGCACCCCACCCACCGGCGACUGCACCAACCUCUUCAUCAUUCAGUUCAGCAAGCCAUUAUUUUCUCUGUUUCUUGGACACCGCGCAUCCAUGGAGAAAUGUGCUUCCAUGAGUAGAUUGAAAGUGAAGAAUGGUCUGACGGAAACAAAAUCUAGGCUGGAUGCAGGACGGCGUGAUGCACACCCACGACGAGCAGACCAGAAAGUUCUUCAGGCACUCGGGCGUCCACUGCGUGUUGGUUCCUCGCUACGGCAGCAACAAGCUCAGCAUCUUCAAGCAGCACGUUGUGGGGACUCUGUUUACGCACCAUCAGAAAUGCGUGAUUGUCGAUUCGCAGGCCGCAAGAUCACCGCAUUUCUCGGCGGUCUGGACCUGUGUGAUGGCAGAUAUGAUACGCCUGAGCAUAGGCUUUUCAAAGACCUUGACACUGUUUUUCAUCAGGAUUUUCAUAAUCCUACCUUCCCUGUUCAUUCUUAUGGACCAAGGCAGCCAUGGCAUGAUUUGCACUGCAAAAUCGAGGGUCCUGCCGCCUAUGACAUACUGACAAACUUCCAACAACGAUGGCGGAAAGCCACGAAAUGGAGGGUCAACCUUAAAAAGGUUGUCAUUUGGCAUUACGACACAUUGAUCAAGAUUAAACGGAUGCCCUGGAUUGUUUCACCUUCUACCGAUGAGGCGGAUGCGCGUGUUUGUCACGAACAGGACACGGAAAACUGGCAUGUACAGGUUUUCAGGUCAAUUGACUCAGGAUCUGUCAAGGGGUUUCCUAAACUUGUCCAAGAGGCACAGUCACAGAAUCUAGUUUGUGCCAAGAAUCUAAAAAUUGACAGGAGCAUACACAGUGCAUACGUGAAAGCCAUCAGGUCUGCACAACACUUCAUAUACAUCGAGAACCAGUACUUCAUUGGGUCUUCAUUCUGCUGGCAUUCACACCAAAAUACAGGUGCAGACAAUUUAAUACCCGUCGAGCUGGCCUUGAAGAUUGCGAGCAAGAUCAAAGCGAAGCAGCGAUUUGCGGUCUACAUUGUUAUCCCAAUGUGGCCUGAAGGCAUCCCAACCACAGCAGCAGUGCAGCAAAUCCUCUUUUGGCAGGGGCAAACCAUGUCUAUGAUGUACAAGAUCAUAGCGGACGCUCUCGAGAGCCAGGGUCUCCUCGACUCCCAUCCUCAAGACUAUCUGAACUUCUACUGCCUCGGGAGGCGUGAGCUCGCCGCCUCUCCGGAGGAGAGCUUAUGCAACGACAACUCUGCUCUGGGCAUGGCGCAGAAGCACCGGAGGUUCAUGAUCUACGUGCACUCCAAAGGGAUGGUGGUGGACGACGAGUACGUGGUGAUCGGGUCGGCCAACAUCAACCAGAGGUCCAUGGAAGGGUCCAGGGACACGGAGAUCGCCAUGGGCGCGUACCAGCCGCACCACACCUCGGCCGGAGACCACGGCGCUCCUCCUCGCGGACAGGUGUACGGGUACAGGAUGUCGCUGUGGGCGGAGCACCUGGGCGGCAGGGCGGAGGAGUGGUUCCGGCGGCCGGAGUCGGAGGAGUGCGUGCGGCGGGUGAACGCGGCGGCGGAGGAGAACUGGCGGGCGUACGUGUCGCCGGACGAGACGACGAGGGGGCACCUGAUGCGGUACCCCGUGAAGGUGGACAGGGACGGCGGCGUUGGGCCGCUGCCGGGCCACGAGUGCUUCCCGGACGUCGGCGGCAAGGUCCUCGGCGGGCAGUCAUCGCUGCCCGAUGCUCUCACCACGUAA
rnacentral:rRNA from 1 species